CUCCCGAAUUCUCCUCCUGGAGCGAUCAGCGGCUCGACGGCGAAGGAUCCCGCAAUCCAUUAUUGUAGCAAGGGGCGAACGGUAGUUGUGAGAGAAAUUGGCAUCGAACUUGUGUCAGAAGCGUCAAAACUUAAUUUGCGAGCUUCCGUGAGAGCUUUCGCACAAUAUGAACGAAGGGGAAUGGAGUUUUGAGGUGUUAGGAAGAUUUGGGGAGAAAAUUAAGCGGUUAUUUACACGAGGCAGCGAGCUAGAGAUCAGCGUGUGGAAACUCCUCGUAAGGCUACUCCAUUAAGUCAGGCGAAGUAAUCUCGUGCUUAGUUUUAAAAAAUAACCUUAUGUAGAUUUUAUGUGAUUAUGAAAUCGACAUUGUUGUAUUAAAACUUCUUGCAUAACGUAGAUGAUUAUCUGCUUGGAA